GACGAACGCUGGCGGCGUGCUUAACACAUGCAAGUCGAACGGAAAGGCCCUGCUUUCGUGGGGUGCUCGAGUGGCGAACGGGUGAGUAACACGUGAGUAACCUGCCCUUGACUUUGGGAUAACUUCAGGAAACUGGGGCUAAUACCGGAUAGGAGCUCCUGCUGCAUGGUGGGGGUUGGAAAGUUUCGGCGGUUGGGGAUGGACUCGCGGCUUAUCAGCUUGUUGGUGGGGUAGUGGCUUACCAAGGCUUUGACGGGUAGCCGGCCUGAGAGGGUGACCGGCCACAUUGGGACUGAGAUACGGCCCAGACUCCUACGGGAGGCAGCAGUGGGGAAUAUUGCACAAUGGGCGGAAGCCUGAUGCAGCAACGCCGCGUGCGGGAUGACGGCCUUCGGGUUGUAACCGCUUUCGCCUGUGACGAAGCGUGAGUGACGGUAAUGGGUAAAGAAGCACCGGCUAACUACGUGCCAGCAGCCGCCGCGG
rnacentral:rRNA from 1 species